rnacentral:lncRNA from 1 species
GACUUUCAAUUAAAAAUUGGUCAAAGUAAUGCAGUCCCUUCAUCUGAAUCAUUAUGGCAAUGGUGUUUAUCUUGCCUAAAUUUAAGGCAUGUCUAACCUCUUCAUGCAGAUUUGGGAGACUUAGUUAAUCGAUCUUAAGCUUUUGCAGAACCUUAGUAAUUUUACAUUUUACGAGUUUUCUAAUUUCAAGGUCACUGACAAUGGUUUGUACCAAUUCUGUAAUCGUGUUUGGAUGCCUACAGCAGUUAGGAUGGAUGUUCUAAAGGCAACCCAUGCAUCCAAGCUGUCUAUCUAUCUUGUAAGAACCAAAAUAUACUGUGACUUGAGGCACCAGUAUUAGUGGUCAGGAAUGAAAAAGGACAUUAUUGAA